CAUCGUGUUCAUAAUGAGAAAACGAAGAGGUGCAAAAGCGGAAGUCGUCACAGUAAAACAGGAUGAUCUGUACUCUAACGUAAACGAGAGGGAUGCUCACGUGUCUGAAUCAGCCGUUUGUGAUGAUGCUCCGUAUGCCAGCGUUUCAUACAGCAAACCCAGA